GGCUUGCAAAAACAAAACAAAGCGAAACAAGAGUAAAAUGGCGACGUGUUCAACAUUUAGUUGGGAUAGAUUGUUCAUUCGGGCCCUUCAUGUCUCUUUAACGACUUUUGUUAUAACCGUUCUUAUUCUUAAAGAUACCGGUGAGUCUUCUAAUCGAUCCAACAGUAAAUAUCAUCUGUUUGACAAGCUGUGAUGGCGAAAAGUCAACAGCCUUUCAAGUUUCAACUUUUUAAAUAGAACAUAUCUUCACUUCUAAAGAAUCUUGUUGGUAGGAUAAUAGCUAGUUCAUGU